GAGUUUGAUCAUGGCUCACGAUAAACGCUGGCGGCAUGCCUAAUACAUGCAAGUCGAACGGAAGUAUUUAUACUUCAGUGGCGAACGGGUGAGUAACACGUGGGUAACCUACCUUAUAAACUAGGAUAACAGUUGGAAACGAUUGCUAAGACUGGAUAGUUCAUAUAAGCGCAUGCUUAAAUGAUUAAAGCUACCUUAUUAUUACUAUAAGAGGGGCCCGCGUCGCAUUACCUACUUGGUGAGAUAAUAGCCCACCAAGGCGACGAUGCGUAUCUGUGCUGAAAGGCAUAACAGCCACACUGGGACUGAGACACGGCCCACACUCCUACGGGAGGCAGCAGUAGGGAAUUUUCGGCAAUGGGCGCAAGCCUGACCGAGCAAUGCCGCGUGAACGAUGAAGAUCUUCGGAUUGUAAAGUUCUGUUGUUAGGGAAGAACAACUUAAGGAAGAGAAAGCCUUAAGCCUGACGGUACCUAACCAGAAAGCCCCGGCUAAAUAUGUGCCACCAGCCGCGGUAAUACAUAUGGGGCGAGCGUUAUCCGGAAUUAUUGGGCGUAAAGGGUGCGUAGGCGGUUUGUUAAGUCUGAUGUGAAAUAUUACAGCUUAACUGUAAAGGGUCAUUGGAAACUGGCAAACUUGAUUUACAGCAGGGGUAAGUGGAAUUCCCAAGUGGAGCGGUGGAAUGCGUAGAGAUUGGGAGGAACACCAGUAGGAAAGGCGGCUUACUGGGCUGGAACUGACGCUGAUGCACGAAAGCGUGGGGAGCAAACAGGAUUUAGAUACCCUGGUAGUCCACGCCGUAAACGUUGAGUAUUAAGUGUCGGAUGUAGAUUCGGUGCUGUAGUUAACACAUUAAAUACUCCGCCUGGGGAGUACGGUCGCAAGACUGAAACUCAAAGGAAUUGACGGGGACUCGCACAAGCGGUGGAGCAUGCGGUUUAAUUCGAUGCAACGCGAAAAACCUUACCAGGUCUUGACAUCUUGCUGAUCACUUUAGAGAUAGAGUUUCCCUUCGGGGCAGCAAAGACAGGUGGUGCAUGGUUGUCGUCAGCUCGUGUCGUGAGAUGUUGGGUUAAGUCCCACAACGAGCGCAACCCUUAUCAUUAGUUGCUAACAUUAAGUUGAGAACUCUAAUGAGACCGCCGGUGACAAACCGGAUGAAGGUGGGGAUGACGUCAAAUCAUCAUGCCCUUUAUGACCUGGGCUACACGCGUGCUACAAUGGCUGGCACAAAGAGUCGCGAGACCGCGAGGUUAAGCAAAUCUCAUAAAACCAGUCUCAGUUCGGAUUGUAGUCUGCAACUCGACUACAUGAAGUUGGAAUCGCUAGUAAUCGCAAAUCAGCAUGUUGCGGUGAAUACGUUCUCGAGUCUUGUACACACCGCCCGUCACACCACGAAAGUUUAUAAUACCCGAAGCCGGUGGCUUAACCGUAAGGAGAGAGCCGUCUAAGGUAGGAUAGAUGAUUGGGGUGAAGUCGUAACAAGGUAGC
rnacentral:rRNA from 1 species